GCUGGUGGCGGAUACAGGCUAGUAUGUGGAUGGAAGUGGAGAUGGCGCACCAAAAUAUCCAAUUCUGUUGUUUGCGCCAUGCCCACAAGAGAAGCCAGCUUUAGUCGAGGAAAUGCGCCUGACCUUGGAGCACAGCAAGGGCUCCGAUGAAUUCAGAGCUGCAUUGUACCGGCCUAGGAUCACAGUUGCAGGGUGAUUCUUCAUGCAGCAUUUGAACCAUGCUCGUCAGAAAAAGGAUGACAUUGUACACCCCAUGUUGAGGACCAUACCCUCCACUUCGUCUUUUAAUAUUCAUAAGAUCGAAAGGCUUUCGUGCCAGAACUCUACCUCUUCACAGGCCGCUUGUCCAAGGUUUUCCCCAUAGUGCACAACAUGCACCCACAGUCUCCUUGUUGGAUUCUGUUGCAACUCUGCCAUGAAAGUCGACGGCAUGCACACUGGCUCCAGGCAUAGCGAGAGAAUGCACUCUGUGCAAGUCAUGAACGUUGCAAGUUAAUCCAGUCCGUGACAAAUCAUAGCUAUGGUUUGUUCUACAACGUUGAGAAGAGACGCCCAGUCACAACGAGUGUCAACAAAAUCAGGGUGGCUGCAAAAC
rnacentral:lncRNA from 1 species